UACGAAGGGGGCUAGCGUUGCUCGGAAUCACUGGGCGUAAAGCGCACGUAGGCGGAUUGUUAAGUCAGGGGUGAAAUCCUGGAGCUCAACUCCAGAACUGCCUUUGAUACUGGCGAUCUUGAGUCCGGGAGAGGUGAGUGGAACUGCGAGUGUAGAGGUGAAAUUCGUAGAUAUUCGCAAGAACACCAGUGGCGAAGGCGGACUCACCUGGCCCGGUACUGGACGCUGAGGUGC
rnacentral:rRNA from 1 species